UGAGCAAUCUGCCCUUCUCAUCGGAAUAAGCGUUGGAAACGACGUCUAAUGCCGAAUACGACCUCCUUUCGCAUGAUCGGAGGUGGAAAGCUCCGGCGGAGAAGGAUGAGCUCGCGGCCUAUCAGCUAGUUGGUGUGGGUAACGGCCCACCAAGGCGACGACGGGUAGCCGGCCUGAGAGGGUGACCGGCCACACUGGGACUGAGACACGGCCCAGACUCCGUACGGGA
rnacentral:rRNA from 1 species